GACGAACGCUGGCGGCGUGCUUAACACAUGCAAGUCGAACGGAAAGGCCCUGCUUUUGUGGGGUGCUCGAGUGGCGAACGGGUGAGUAACACGUGAGUAACCUGCCCUUGACUUUGGGAUAACUUCAGGAAACUGGGGCUAAUACCGGAUAGGAGCUCCUGCUGCAUGGUGGGGGUUGGAAAGUUUCGGCGGGUGGGGAUGGACUCGCGGCUUAUCAGCUUGUUGGUGGGGUAGUGGCUUACCAAGGCUUUGACGGGUAGCCGGCCUGAGAGGGUGACCGGCCACAUUGGGACUGCGGUACGGCCCAGACUCCUACGGGAGGCAGCAGUGGGGAGUAUUGCACAGUGGGCGGACGCCUGAUGCAGCAACGCCGCGUGCGGGAUGACGGCCUUCGGGUUGUAAACCGCUUUCGCCUGUGACGAAGCGUGAGUGACGGUAAUGGGUAAAGAAGCACCGGCUAACUACGUG
rnacentral:rRNA from 1 species